ACAACUAAAACAUGUUACCCAAAUAAUAGAGAAUCACAAAUCAACACGAUAUCAUAACAAAAUAAAAUGAGAAUGAAAAUUGAGAAAUGAACCUUUCAUUGAUGAAUAAAUCCGAAAAUUGCAAAUCAAACGGGCUAGACUAAGCAAUAUUCCUCGGGCAAAAAUACCGAAAUUACAAAUCGGAAUCUCGAAUCGGCACAAACUUCAAAUCACUGCAACAGAAUUCAUCAAGCUCAAAGGCCAGAAUCCUAUUGACCCCUAUUGGUCUCACCCACGAUGACAUGGCCCAUAGGAAGCCCAUCAGCAGUUCACCGGUCUCCCUUGGAAAAACAAAGGAUUUAAAAAAAAAAUUCUAAGCAGAGGAACACAUUAACCAAACAGUACGUUUCCCUUCGCCAAUCACUUUGAAUUUCCUAUACCCCUCAACUUCUCUGUCCAAAAUCCCAUUUUUAGCAACAAUAGAAACUAGAAUGAGAGAUUUUUACUCUUACAAUAAUGAAGUAGAAGUCGAAGAUGAAGCGACUAAACUUUCCCCUUCAGUAGAACAAAUGCUAAACCAAAUCUCUGUAAUCCGCGUGGAAUUGGUAGUUCUAUUAUGUUGCAAUUACCUUAGACCGCUGCUACUAUCUUAGAGUUGUAGGGAUUCUAUUUUUUUGGUCUUAGUUAGGUCUA
rnacentral:lncRNA from 1 species